UGGAGAGUACGCAGGUGAGAGUAUGUACGCAGUACUCAGUGCUCAGGUGGGAAUGAGAGUAUGUACGCAGUACUCAGUGCUCAGGUGGGAAUGGAGAGUACGCAGGUGAGAGUAUGUACUCAGUACUCAGGUGGGAAUGGGGGAGUAUGCAGGUGAGAGUAUGUACUGCGUACUCAGGUGGGAAUGGAGAGUACGCAGGUGAGAGUAUGUACUGAGUACUCAGGUGGGAAUGGAGAGUACGCAGGUGAGAGUAUGUACUCAGUACUCAGGUGGGAAUGGAGAGUACGCAGGUGAGAGUAUGUACUCAGUACUCAGGUGGGAACGGAGAGUACGCAGGUGAGAGUAUGUACUCAGUACUCAGUACUCGGGUGGGAAUGGAGAGUACGGAGAGUACGGAAUGGAGAGUACGCAGGUGAGAGUAUGUACUCAGUACUCAGGUGGGAAUGGGGGAGUACGCAGGUGAGAGUAUGUACUCAGUACUCAGGUGGGAAUGGGGGAGUACGCAGGUGAGAGUAUGUACUCAGUACUCAGGUGGGAAUGGAGAGUACGCAGGUGAGAGUAUGUACGCAGUACUCAGUGCUCAGGUGGGAAUGAGAGUAUGUACGCAGUACUCAGUGCUCAGGUGGGAAUGGAGAGUACGCAGGUGAGAGUAUGUACUCAGUACUCAGGUGGGAAUGGGGGGAGUACGCAGGUGAGAGUAUGUACGCAGUACUCAGGUGGGAAUGGGGGAGUAUGCAGGUGAGAGUAUGUACUCAGUACUCAGUACUCAGGUGGGAAUGGGGGAGUAUGCAGGUGAGAGUAUGUACUCAGUACAGUGGGCUGCCUCCCCAGAGAGGCGCGGGGGCUUUGAUGGCGGUUCAAAGCG